AGCGUAGACGGCAGUGCAAGUCUGAAGUGAAAGCCCGGGGCUCAACCCCGGGACUGCUUUGGAAACUGUGCAGCUAGAGUGUCGGAGAGGCAAGCGGAAUUCCUAGUGUAGCGGUGAAAUGCGUAGAUAUUAGGAGGAACACCAGUGGCGAAGGCGGCUUGCUGGACGAUGACUGACGUUGAGGCUCGAAAGCGUGGGAGCAAACA
rnacentral:rRNA from 1 species